GAAGACGCUGCUCGCCGGUGGUCGUGCAGCCCCGAAUAUCACCGCAACUAACCGAACAGCCCCGCACCACCCCGAAAUUCUCGAUUUCUGACUUGCCGAUAAGUUCUUACUUGUUUUGGUGAAGUAUAAUCGGUUCAAGUUUGUGGCCGUCCAUGUUGAAGUACCCGCUUCCAUACGAUGUAUAAAUUAAAUUUUGUUGGACUUUUGUUGGAUGUAUCGGACAUUAAAAUUUUUAUUUGGUGUUA